rnacentral:ncRNA from 1 species
AUAAGGCUGAGCUGUGAUGGCGAGGGAAAUUUAGUACCGAAGUUCCUGAUUCCACACUGCCAAGAAAAGCCUCUAGCGAGGUGAGAGGUGCCCGUACCGCAAACCGACACAGGUAGGCGAGGAGAGAAUCCUAAGGUGAGCGAGAGAACUCUCGUUAAGGAACUCGGCAAAAUGACCCCGUAACUUCGGGAGAAGGGGUGCUUUUUAGGGUUCAUAGCCCUGAAAAGCCGCAGUGAAUAGGCCCAGGCGACUGUUUAGCAAAAACACAGGUCUCUGCGAAGCCGCAAGGCGAAGUAUAGGGGCUGACGCCUGCCCGGUGCUGGAAGGUUAAGGGGAGAGGUUAGCGCAAGCGAAGCUUUGAACCGAAGCCCCAGUAAACGGCGGCCGUAACUAUAACGGUCCUAAGGUAGCGAAAUUCCUUGUCGGGUAAGUUCCGACCCGCACGAAAGGCGUAACGAUCUGGGCACUGUCUCAACGAGAGACUCGGUGAAAUUAUAGUACCUGUGAAGAUGCAGGUUACCCGCGACAGGACGGAAAGACCCCGUGGAGCUUUACUGUAGCCUGAUAUUGAAUUUUGGUACAGCUUGUACAGGAUAGGUAGGAGCCUUGGAAGCCGGAGCGCCAGCUUCGGUGGAGGCAUUGGUGGGAUACUACCCUUGCUGUAUUGAAAUUCUAACCCACAGCCCUGAUCGGGCUGGGAGACAGUGUCAGGUGGGCAGUUUGACUGGGGCGGUCGCCUCCUAAAAUGUAACGGAGGCGCCCAAAGGUUCCCUCAGAAUGGUUGGAAAUCAUUCGCAGAGUGUAAAGGCACAAGGGAGCUUGACUGCGAGACCUACAAGUCGAGCAGGGACGAAAGUCGGGCUUAGUGAUCCGGUGGUUCCGCAUGGAAGGGCCAUCGCUCAACGGAUAAAAGCUACCCCGGGGAUAACAGGCUUAUCUCCCCCAAGAGUCCACAUCGACGGGGAGGUUUGGCACCUCGAUGUCGGCUCAUCGCAUCCUGGGGCUGUAGUCGGUCCCAAGGGUUGGGCUGUUCGCCCAUUAAAGCGGUACGCGAGCUGGGUUCAGAACGUCGUGAGACAGUUCGGUCCCUAUCCGUCGUGGGCGCAGGAAAUUUGAGAGGAGCUGUCCUUAGUACGAGAGGACCGGGAUGGACGCACCGCUGGUGUACCAGUUGUCUUGCCAAAGGCAUCGCUGGGUAGCUAUGUGCGGAAGGGAUAAGUGCUGAAAGCAUCUAAGCAUGAAGCCCCCCUCAAGAUGAGAUUUCCCAUCACGUAAGUGAGUAAGAACCCUGAAAGAUGAUCAGGUUGAUAGGUCUGAGGUGGAAGCGCGGUGACGUGUGGAGCUGACAGAUACUAAUCGUUCGAGGACUUAACCAC